UUUUUAAAGUGUAGAUAGCCACCUUAAAUGCUACAAGAGAAACCACGUCCUGACGCAGCUGCAUAGAUAGUUUAGGUCGUUGAGUUAGAAAUUAAAUGGCCAAUAUUAUAAUUCCCGGUGUGCCUACCUAAUUCUGCGAUUCACAGGAUUUGGACAAUUAAUUCGAAAUUUUUCACCUUACACCACCAUGUUAAAUGCGAUUAAUGACGGCUUUAAUACCCUUUACAAAAAAUCUCGAAUAAAGCCG